GCGGCGGCAUGUGCGCGGCGGCGGAGUUCGAGUCGUUCGGCGUGCGGCCGGUGGACCUGUGGGGGCUGUCGGUGGAGGCGCUGCUGCCCGAGGUGACGGUGCCGGUGCCUGAGGUCCUGCGCAGCCGCAGCGAGUGGUGCACCACCUACCUGGAUGAGGACAUGCGGGUGGGGCGCGGCAGCGGCGGCGCGCUGUUCCUGUUCCGGCGCGGCGGCGCGGACGACGUCACCGAGGCGGCGGGCGCCAUGGGCGGCAGCCUGGGUGCGGGCUCCGGCAUGGGCAUGGGCUUGGGCGUGGGCUUGGGCGCGGUGGCUGCGGAUGCCCGCGCGCCGGUGAUGCGGCCGCUGUGAGGCGCGUGGGAGGAGGGGCGGGUGGCAGGAGGGAAGUGGAGCCUGGCGGCCGGCGCCGCGGGUGUGUAGCGGUGUGCCCGUGUGUGUGCGGGUGCGUGUACGUGUACGUGUACGUGUACGUGUACGUGUACGUGUACGUGUACGUGUACGUGUGUGUGUGUGUGUGUGUGUGUGUGUGUGUGUGUGUACAUGUGUGUGUGUGUGUACAUGUGUGUGUACAUGUGUGUGUACAUGUGUGUGUACAUGUGUGUGUACAUGUGUGUGUACAUGUGUGUGUACAUGUGUGUGUACAUGUGUGUACCUGUGUGUACAUGUGUGUACAUGUGUGUGUGUGUGUUGAGGUGGGCAUGGUGUGGCUGUGUGGGCGAGGAGGAGCACAGCGCUUCCAUCCGGCACUUGUGAGACAUGUCACAAUUUAUCAUCAUUUUAUCGCGGCAGGCAGUCCUAUGCAUGAGCAAUUCAUGGCGGUGCGCAUGGCGUGGAAUGGAGUGAAUUGAUGUUGUCAGGGGGCUGGUUGCAAUGGCCGAUACCGGUACCUGUGGUCCUGUGCGUCUCUGCGUGUCCUGUACAGUGUAUUCCCCCAAAUGGAUAGGGAGGGCAUGGUUGCAGGCCUGGCCAGAUCAGGUGUCUGGGUUUUAUCCCUCGCCUGCGUGUGCGUGCUUGUAUCUAACUGUACCACUUCAAUUAGGUCAAGGUUACCUGGCCCCUGUAGAGACGUGGAGGCUCAGACAAUAAGACAAUUGGUCUUAGCUCAAUGCAAACAGUGCAAAGAUUGAUUACAUUUGCUGAGUCUGCUUGUGGACAGAGAGAUGUGCGGUGUGAGGACUGUCGGCAGGAGCAUUGAUAGUAUGACAGUGGAGCGUGAAGAGGGAGAGGGACGGAGGGAGGCUGCGUGGUGCUGGCAGAGGGACGGAGGACGAGGUGGGCACCAUGCGGCCUUUGCAAUGCAUUCAAAGCUUCGCCCAAAGCCUUAACUUAUCAGGAUACCGUAUUGCUUGAAGCAGGAGUGCCGUCGCUGGUCACGCAACUUAAGAGAACUGCAGGGAAACAAGCAUCGAACCGGGGGUCGUGAUGGAGGCAUAGAUUUUGCUCUUGCGGCUCCUCGGGCGCCUGGUACACAGGGACACUUUAUCAGUGCACGAUAGCUAUAAGACGAAACAAUAUGGUGGUUUGCCUCGGUGCAGAGAACAGCAGUGCUGACAACUGAGCGCUCCCAAUUGUUGCCUUCUCUCCUACUGGAACUAUGACCGAGCCAAGCACCAGUGGCAAGCGCCAUAGAGAGGAUGAAGGUGUUGGAAACCUCGGCUGGCUGGCGAGCAGCGGUAUGCUGCCUCGCAAGCGGCAAGACAUUUCGGGAGUCGGCAAUGCGAGCAUUAUGGAGCUACAAGCACAACUUUAUCGCACGCAAGAAAAUGUGAAAUUGAAAGCAAGUGGCGUCGAGGUCCCCGACCGGCGAACUUCGGGGUUCAACGUCGCAUCGCUUAUGCAGCGACGAAACACGGGCGUGGAAGAGCGCGAUCGACGGGACAAGCUUGAAGUCAAGGUGAGGCGGGGUCUGGGAGUCCGCAAAUGCGACGUAGGGGCGGUGCUACGCUUGACGCGGACACUGGCCUCAGCAGUUCUGGACGACGCCCCGCGCGGUUUCCCCUCCACGCCCCUCCCGCACAGACCACCGCUGACCGCGUCGGGGAGUGUUACGCCGCGCUAGAGCGCAAGGCGCAACUAUACGAGAAACUAGGUAGGCGCUGCGACUGCUGCAGCCGUGCGCCGUGAACAAUGCCACACGGCACCACUGCCAUCCCUACCCCGCCAUUCCACCACGGCCACGUUGCACACCCCUCGCCGUCGAUGUAUGCGGACUCGCACAGGCUGUCCAGCUCGCCAUCUUCCACACGGCUACCAUAUGCCUGUACAAACUCCCUCGACCCUUUGCCAGCCCUAUCUACCCAUUGAUCGCUGUGCUUCUGCUCGACCGCUGUUCCGCUGCUGUUGCUGCUGCUGCUGCUACUGCUGCUGCUGCCGCAGCUCGCGGCGAGUUGGACGACGAGGGCGAGCAGUACGAGGUGGACUUCCUGCGCAAGGGCGGGGCGGCGGAGGAGGAGGCGGGUGGAGGCGAGGGCCGGCGCGGCGGCGACCUGGUGGACACCAUGCUGCAGGCAGUGUCGGGGACAGGUGAGGCGGGGGCGGAUGGGGGCAAGGAGUCCACGGGCCUUGUAGUCGGACUGCCCGAGCCGCCACCCUGACGGAGAGGGUCAACAAGUGUGUGCUGCGGCUGACCUGUCGGCAGAGCGUGUUGCUGCUGUUCGGCGCUCGGCCCGCGGGAUCUCACCACCCUCAGCCCCCGCCGCUGCUCGGCUGCAACCAUUGAGGCAGGACAGCAAGGGUUUAGGCAGGGUAGUAUGGACUGAGGCAGGGUAAUGCGGACUGGGCAAGGCAACCACCCGACACAUAGCGUGUCCCGGUCUAUUGUAUUCUUCUCUUGUGCGGAGACCGCACGUCUGAACCGCUCCUACUCCGCGCUGCACUUGCGCUCCUGACCACCUCCUGGCCACCUGUCGGCAUGCGGCCCCGCACACAGGCGGCAUGAUGACUGCGGACAUGGCGCGGGAACGGGAGCGGCGCGACUGGGAGCGGGACCAGCAGCGCAUCAUGGCGGACGAGGAGGCGGAGGAGCGGAGGCGGAAGCAGAAAGAGGUGCGUCCAACACAAGCGGAGGUCGGGGACCAAUGGCACCAUUGUUGUAUGCUGUUUAACCCGGGUUACCCUAUGCCGGCGAUGCUGCCUGUGAGCAGUUGAUAAGCAGUGCCUAACCUGCGGUGGCACGUCGUCGCAUGCGGUUUGCACAGGCGCUGCUUUGGCUUGUGGGGGCUGUCGGUGGAGGCGCUGCUGCCCGAGGUGACGGUGCCGGUGCCUGAGGUCCUGCGCAGCCGCAGCGAGUGGUGCACCACCUACCUGGAUGAGGACAUGCGGGUGGGGCGCGGCAGCGGCGGCGCGCUGUUCCUGUUCCGGCGCGGCGGCGCGGACGACGUCACCGAGGCGGCGGGCGCCAUGGGCGGCAGCCUGGGUGCGGGCUCCGGCAUGGGCAUGGGCUUGGGCGUGGGCUUGGGCGCGGUGGCUGCGGAUGCCCGCGCGCCGGUGAUGCGGCCGCUGUGAGGCGCGUGGGAGGAGGGGCGGGUGGCAGGAGGGAAGUGGAGCCUGGCGGCCGGCGCCGCGGGUGUGUAGCGGUGUGCCCGUGUGUGUGCGGGUGCGUGUACGUGUACGUGUACGUGUACGUGUACGUGUACGUGUACGUGUACGUGUACGUGUACGUGUGUGUGUGUGUGUGUGUGUGUGUGUACAUGUGUGUGUGUCUACAUGUGUGUGUACAUGUGUGUGUACAUGUGUGUGUACAUGUGUGUACCUGUGUGUACAUGUGUGUACAUGUGUGUGUGUGUGUUGAGGUGGGCAUGGUGUGGCUGUGUGGGCGAGGAGGAGCACAGCGCUUCCAUCCGGCACUUGUGAGACAUGUCACAAUUUAUCAUCAUUUUAUCGCGGCAGGCAGUCCUAUGCAUGAGCAAUUCAUGGCGGUGCGCAUGGCGUGGAAUGGAGUGAAUUGAUGUUGUCAGGGGGCUGGUUGCAAUGGCCGAUACCGGUACCUGUGGUCCUGUGCGUCUCUGCGUGUCCUGUACAGUGUAUUCCCCCAAAUGGAUAGGGAGGGCAUGGUUGCAGGCCUGGCCAGAUCAGGUGUCUGGGUUUUAUCCCUCGCCUGCGUGUGCGUGCUUGUAUCUAACUGUACCACUUNNNNNNNNNNNNNNNNNNNNNNNNNNNNNNNNNNNNNNNNNNNNNNNNNNNNNNNNNNNNNNNNNNNNNNNNNNNNNNNNNNNNNNNNNNNNNNNNNNNNACGCGGACACUGGCCUCAGCAGUUCUGGACGACGCCCCGCGCGGUUUCCCCUCCACGCCCCUCCCGCACAGACCACCGCUGACCGCGUCGGGGAGUGUUACGCCGCGCUAGAGCGCAAGGCGCAACUAUACGAGAAACUAGGUAGGCGCUGCGACUGCUGCAGCCGUGCGCCGUGAACAAUGCCACACGGCACCACUGCCAUCCCUACCCCGCCAUUCCACCACGGCCACGUUGCACACCCCUCGCCGUCGAUGUAUGCGGACUCGCACAGGCUGUCCAGCUCGCCAUCUUCCACACGGCUACCAUAUGCCUGUACAAACUCCCUCGACCCUUUGCCAGCCCUAUCUACCCAUUGAUCGCUGUGCUUCUGCUCGACCGCUGUUCCGCUGCUGUUGCUGCUGCUGCUGCUACUGCUGCUGCUGCCGCAGCUCGCGGCGAGUUGGACGACGAGGGCGAGCAGUACGAGGUGGACUUCCUGCGCAAGGGCGGGGCGGCGGAGGAGGAGGCGGGUGGAGGCGAGGGCCGGCGCGGCGGCGACCUGGUGGACACCAUGCUGCAGGCAGUGUCGGGGACAGGUGAGGCGGGGGCGGAUGGGGGCAAGGAGUCCACGGGCCUUGUAGUCGGACUGCCCGAGCCGCCACCCUGACGGAGAGGGUCAACAAGUGUGUGCUGCGGCUGACCUGUCGGCAGAGCGUGUUGCUGCUGUUCGGCGCUCGGCCCGCUGGAUCUCACCACCCUCAGCCCCCGCCGCUGCUCGGCUGCAACCAUUGAGGCAGGACAGCAAGGGUUUAGGCAGGGUAGUAUGGACUGAGGCAGGGUAAUGCGGACUGGGCAAGGCAACCACCCGACACAUAGCGUGUCCCGGUCUAUUGUAUUCUUCUCUUGUGCGGAGACCGCACGUCUGAACCGCUCCUACUCCGCGCUGCACUUGCGCUCCUGACCACCUCCUGGCCACCUGUCGGCAUGCGGCCCCGCACACAGGCGGCAUGAUGACUGCGGACAUGGCGCGGGAACGGGAGCGGCGCGACUGGGAGCGGGACCAGCAGCGCAUCAUGGCGGACGAGGAGGCGGAGGAGCGGAGGCGGAAGCAGAAAGAGGUGCGUCCAACACAAGCGGAGGUCGGGGACCAAUGGCACCAUUGUUGUAUGCUGUUUAACCCGGGUUACCCUAUGCCGGCGAUGCUGCCUGUGAGCAGUUGAUAAGCAGUGCCUAACCUGCGGUGGCACGUCGUCGCAUGCGGUUUGCACAGGCGCUGCUUUGGCUUGUGGGGGCUGUCGGUGGAGGCGCUGCUGCCCGAGGUGACGGUGCCGGUGCCUGAGGUCCUGCGCAGCCGCAGCGAGUGGUGCACCACCUACCUGGAUGAGGACAUGCGGGUGGGGCGCGGCAGCGGCGGCGCGCUGUUCCUGUUCCGGCGCGGCGGCGCGGACGACGUCACCGAGGCGGCGGGCGCCAUGGGCGGCAGCCUGGGUGCGGGCUCCGGCAUGGGCAUGGGCUUGGGCGUGGG
rnacentral:lncRNA from 1 species